rnacentral:rRNA from 1 species
GCUAAGAAAAAAGAUUCAAAGUGUUGCCUGCCCAGUGGUUUUUAAUUAUUAAAAUAAAAUUUUUUAAAUAAAAUUAAACGGCCGCAGUAUCCUGACUGUGAUAAUGUAGCAUAAUAAUUUGUCAUUUAAUUGGUGAAUAGAAUGAAUGGCUAAACGAAUAUUUAACUGUCUUAAAGAAAAAAUUUAUUAAAUUGAAAUAAUAGUAAAGAUGCUAUUUUAAAUUGUAAGACGAAAAGACCCUAUAGAGCUUAACUAUAAUCUUUUUAAUUUAAAAAGAUAGGUAGUUUAGUUGGGGCGACUGCCUUUUAAUUAAAACAAAGGUAAACAAAGUUAAUAAAUAUAAUUUAUUGUAUAAUUUAUAAAUUUAACAAUUAUUAAAGUAGGUUAUAAUGACCCAUUAUUAAUAAAAGAAAAUAAUAAUGAUCAUUAAAUAAAAGCUACCUUAGGGAUAACAGGAUAAUUUUAAUUUAGAGAUCAUAUUGAAAUUAAAGUUUGUCACCUCUAUGUUGAAUUAAGAUAUCCUAUUAAUGCAGAAGUUAAUAAGGGUAGGUCUGUUCGACCUUUAAAAUCUU